UACGUAGGGCGCGAGCGUUGUCCGGAAUUAUUGGGCGUAAAGAGCUCGUAGGCGGUUUGUCGCGUCGGCUGUGAAAACUCGGGGCUCAACCCCGAGCCUGCAGUCGAUACGGGCAAACUAGAGUGUGGUAGGGGAGACUGGAAUUCCGGGUGUAGCGGUGGAAUGCGUAGAGAUCCGGAAGAACACCGGUGGCGAAGGCGGCCUGCUGGGCAGUGGCUGACACUGAGGCGCGGACAGCGUGGGGAGCAAACAGGG
rnacentral:rRNA from 1 species